rnacentral:rRNA from 1 species
GAUGAACGCUGUCUACAGGCUUAACACAUGCAAGUCGAGGGGAAACGACGGGGAAGCUUGCUUCCCCGGGCGUCGACCGGCGCACGGGUGAGUAACGCGUAUCCAACCUGCCUCUGACUGAGGGAUAACCCGUCGAAAGUCGGCCUAAUACCUCAUGGCAUCGUCUGCGGGCAUCCAACGACGAUUAAAGAUUUCAUCGGUCAGGGAUGGGGAUGCGUCUGAUUAGCUUGUUGGCGGGGUAACGGCCCACCAAGGCUACGAUCAGUAGGGGUUCUGAGAGGAAUGUCCCCCACAUUGGAACUGGGACACGGUCCAAACGCCUACGGGAGGCAGCAGUGAGGAAUAUCGGUCAAUGGGCGGGAGCCUGAACCAGCCAAGUAGCGUGCAGGAAGACGGCCCUAUGGGUUGUAAACUGCUUUUAUGCGGGGAUAAAGUGAGGGACGUGUCCUUCAUUGCAGGUACCGAAUGAAUAAGGACGGGCUAAUUCCGUG